CGUGCCGACGCCCACUCCUCGCCGAAACCCUAGCUUCCCCCAUCCCCUCCCGGCGGCGACUGCGACGAUGGAGACGGCGGCGGCAGGCGGCGUCCCUCGGGCGCUCUCCCAGCAGGAGCAGGACAUGCAGAUGAUGCUGAAGGCCGACGUGCAUCUGGGCGUCAUUAGGAAAUGCGACUUGCAGAUGAAGCGCUAUCGCUACUUCUGAAGCACCAACCCGACGGUUGAUCUUUUCCUCUAUAGAAAUCUAGAAGAAACAAAGGAGCUGGACUGCUGGAGGAAGAGUAGGCUCUUGUUGCUCCUGACUACGCUGCAGUGGCUGAUUAUGGUGCUCCCGCAGCUGAUAACUGGGGAACUGAACAAUGUGGUGCAGGAAAGGCUCCAGCUGCUGCCCUCCCUGCUGCCCCUGCUAGUGCUGAGUGGGGUACCACUCUGGAUCCUUAUAUUUAUUCUUUGUUACUGAAUUUAUUUCACAUGAGUGGUGCAUUUUUGUAUUGAAUUAGUUUUCACACUGAAUAUGAUUUAACUGGUAGAGACAUAAUGUAUUUUGAUUGUAGGGGAGUAGCUGUUUUAUUUGAUUUUGAUUAUGUUAGAAUGUUAUUAGCAUUCAAUUGUGUACAAAUUUGUUAUUGAAAUAGCACUUCAUCCCUUUCCUUGUGCCCUA